rnacentral:lncRNA from 1 species
UCCCAAUUUGGCCUAGAGUGGAUUGGAAAAACUUGAUGGCUACCAUAAAUGUCUUGCUAAGACAUAAGUUUACUGUGUGGAUGGCUGCUCAUGGAAGACUACCAACAGUUGAUAGAUGGCUGCUCAUGGAAGACUACCAAAAGUUUGGUAUCAAAGUUGAAGAAACAUGUGUGUUCUGUAAGCAAGGCUUUGAAGCCUUUGA